AUUGAACGCUGGCGGCAGGCCUAACACAUGCAAGUCGAGCGGAUGAAGGGAGCUUGCUCCUGGAUUCAGCGGCGGACGGGUGAGUAAUGCCUAGGAAUCUGCCUGGUAGUGGGGGAUAACGUCCGGAAACGGGCGCUAAUACCGCAUACGUCCUGAGGGAGAAAGUGGGGGAUCUUCGGACCUCACGCUAUCAGAUGAGCCUAGGUCGGAUUAGCUAGUUGGUGGGGUAAAGGCCUACCAAGGCGACGAUCCGUAACUGGUCUGAGAGGAUGAUCAGUCACACUGGAACUGAGACACGGUCCAGACUCCUACGGGAGGCAGCAGUGGGGAAUAUUGGACAAAGGGCGAAAGCCUGAUCCAGCCAUGCCGCGUGUGUGAAGAAGGUCUUCGGAUUGUAAAGCACUUUAAGUUGGGAGGAAGGGCAGUAAGUUAAUACCUUGCUGUUUUGACGUUACCAACAGAAUGAGCACCGGCUAACUUCGUG
rnacentral:rRNA from 1 species